GACGAACGCUGGCGGCGUGCCUAAUACAUGCAAGUCGAGCGGACGGAUGGGAGCUUGCUCCCAGACCGUCAGCGGCGGACGGGUGAGUAACACGUGGGCAACCUGCCUGUAAGACUGGGAUAACUCCGGGAAACCGGGGCUAAUACCGGAUAACUCUUUCCCUCACAUGAGGGAAAGCUGAAAGAUGGCAUCUCGCUAUCACUUACAGAUGGGCCCGCGGCGCAUUAGCUAGUUGGUGAGGUAACGGCUCACCAAGGCGACGAUGCGUAGCCGACCUGAGAGGGUGAUCGGCCACACUGGGACUGAGACACGGCCCAGACUCCUACGGGAGGCAGCAGUAGGGAAUCUUCCGCAAUGGACGAAAGUCUGACGGAGCAACGCAGCGUGAGUGAUGAAGGUUUUCGGAUCGUAAAACUCUGUUGUCAGGGAAGAACAAGUACCGGAGUAACUGCCGGUACCUUGACGGUACCUGACCAGAAAGCCACGGCUAACUACGUG
rnacentral:rRNA from 1 species